rnacentral:rRNA from 1 species
GCACUAUACGGUGAAACUGCGAAUGGCUCAUUAAAUCAGUUAUCGUUUAUUUGAUAGUACCUUACUACAUGGAUAACCGUGGUAAUUCUAGAGCUAAUACAUGCUAAAAACCUCGACUUCGGAAGGGGUGUAUUUAUUAGAUAAAAAACCAAUGCCCUUCGGGGCUCCUUGGUGAAUCAUAAUAACUUAACGAAUCGCAUGGCCUUGCGCCGGCGAUGGUUCAUUCAAAUUUCUGCCCUAUCAACUUUCGAUGGUAGGAUAGUGGCCUACCAUGGUAUCAACGGGUAACGGGGAAUUAGGGUUCGACUCCGGAGAGGGAGCCUGAGAAACGGCUACCACAUCCAAGGAAGGCAGCAGGCGCGCAAAUUACCCAAUCCCGACACGGGGAGGUAGUGACAAUAAAUACUGAUACAGGGCUCUUUUGGGUCUUGUAAUUGGAAUGAGUACAAUUUAAAUCCCUUAACGAGGAACAAUUGGAGGGCAAGUCUGGUGCCAGCAGCCGCGGUAAUUCCAGCUCCAAUAGCGUAUAUUAAAGUUGUUGCAGUUAAAAAGCUCGUAGUUGAACCUUGGGCCUGGCUGGCCGGUCCGCCUCACCGCGUGUACUGGUCCGGCCGGGCCUUUCCUUCUGGGGAACCUCAUGCCCUUCACUGGGCGUGUUGGGGAACCAGGACUUUUACUUUGAAAAAAUUAGAGUGUUCAAAGCAGGCCUUUGCUCGAAUACAUUAGCAUGGAAUAAUAGAAUAGGACGUGUGGUUCUAUUUUGUUGGUUUCUAGGACCGCCGUAAUGAUUAAUAGGGAUAGUCGGGGGCAUCAGUAUUCAAUCGUCAGAGGUGAAAUUCUUGGAUUGAUUGAAGACUAACUACUGCGAAAGCAUUUGCCAAGGAUGUUUUCAUUAAUCAGUGAACGAAAGUUAGGGGAUCGAAGACGAUCAGAUACCGUCGUAGUCUUAACCAUAAACUAUGCCGACUAGGGAUCGGACGGUGUUAGUAUUUUGACCCGUUCGGCACCUUACGAGAAAUCAAA